rnacentral:rRNA from 1 species
AUUGAACGCUGGCGGCGUGCCUAACACAUGCAAGUCGAGCGGUAACAGGUGUAGCAAUACAUGCUGACGAGCGGCGAACGGGUGAGUAAUGCUUCGGAAUCUACCCAAUGGUGGGGAUAACCAGCCGAAAGGUUGGCUAAUACCGCAUACGUCCCACGGGAGAAAGCAGGGGAUCGCAAGACCUUGCGCCAAUGGAUGAGCCGAAGUCGGAUUAGCUAGUUGGAGGGUAACGGCCUACCAAGGCGACGAUCCGUAGCUGGUCUGAGAGGACGGACCAGCCACACUGGGACUGAGACACGGCCCAGACUCCUACGGGAGGCAGCAGUGGGGAA